UACGAAGGGGGCUAGCGUUGUUCGGAUUUACUGGGCGUAAAGCGCACGUAGGCGGGUUGUUAAGUCAGGUGUGAAAUCCUUGAGCUCAACUCCAGAACUGCCUUUGAUACUGGCAACCUAGAGGCUGGAAGAGGUUAGUGGAAUUCCCAGUGUAGAGGUGAAAUUCGUAGAUAUUGGGAAGAACACCAGUGGCGAAGGCGGCUAACUGGACCAGAUCUGACGCUGAGGUGCGAAAGCGUGGGGAGCAAACAGG
rnacentral:rRNA from 1 species